rnacentral:rRNA from 1 species
UAGGAUUCCCCUAGUAGCGGCGAGCGAACAGGGAAAAGCCCAGCACUGAAUCCUGCAGCUGAUAAGCGGCUGCCGGGAAAUGUAGUGUUUGGGAGAGUCCGUUAACUCGCAACUGUACGAUUAGUUCAAGUCCUUCUUGAAUGAGGCCACCGCCCAGAGAGGGUGCCAGGCCCGUAGCGACAGUUGUCGGUUGCGAGUGGAUUUCUCCUUAGAGUCGGGUUGCUUGAUAGUGCAGCCCUAAGUGGGUGGUAAACUCCAUCUAAGGCUAAAUAAGACCACGAGACCGAUAGCGAACAAGUACCGUGAGGGAAAGUUGAAAAGCACUUUGAAGAGAGAGUUCAAUAGUACGUGAAACCGUUAAGGGGUAAACCUGAGAAACCCGAAAUGUCGAUGGAAAAGAUUCACGUGUGUCACAGUUUGGAGCGCUUUAGCGUUUGACAUAAUGGUUUUCGAAUCGUUUUGCUACGCUAUUGUAUCGAUUUCCGAAUGUGAAACCGUGCACUUCUUUUCCGGUAGGACGUCGCGAUCCGUUGGGUGUCGGCCCAAGGGCAGUGGGGUUUGUCCAUACAUUUUCAAUGUGUGAAACCGCUGCUACUGGCCGACUCGCUUGACGGUAUGAUAAUUUGAUGUACAGUGGCAAUAAAUUAUUAUUUUUGCGUUAGACAUUCUGUCAACUACUCGUGUCGCUUGAUAAUCGGACUUUACGCCGGUGCGAGUGCAUGCUGUUGUUGCUCGGCGUCUCUAACAGACUGCCGUUAAUCGGCGACGCUAAAGCUUUGGGUACUUUCAGGACCCGUCUUGAAACACGGACCAAGGAGUCUAGCAUGUGCGCAAGUCAUUGGGACAUUUUUAUGAAACCAAUAGGCAAAAUGAAAGUAAAGGUCUGAGGGAAGAUGUGCUAGUUUGCUCAGGCAAGCCUAUGCAUCGCAUUCCCGGGGCGUUUCGAUCUCAUUGCGAGAUGAGGCGCACCCAGAGCGUACACGCUGGGACCCGAAAGAUGGUGAACUAUGCCUGGUCAGGACGAAGUCAGGGGAAACCCUGAUGGAGGUCCGUAGCGAUUCUGACGUGCAAAUCGAUCGUCGGAACUGGGUAUAGGGGCGAAAGACCAAUCGAACCAUCUAGUAGCUGGUUCCCUCCGAAGUUUCCCUCAGGAUAGCUGGCUCUCGAUGAGUUUCAUCUGGUAAAGCGAAUGAUUAGAGGCAUUGGGGUCGAAACGACCUCAACCUAUUCUCAAACUUUAAAUGGGUGAGAUCUACGGCUUGCUUAAAUGAAGCUGUAUGUAUAAUAAAUGUGAAUCAAAGUGCCAAGUGGGCCAUUUUUG